GCCUACGGGGGGCUGCAGUGGGGAAUAUUGGACAAUGGGGGCAACCCUGAUCCAGCCAUGCCGCGUGAGUGAAGAAGGCCUUAGGGUUGUAAAGCUCUUUCACCCGUGACGAUGAUGACGGUAGCGGGAGAAGAAGCCCCGGCUAAUUCCGUGCCAGCAGCCGCGGUAAUACGGAAGGGGCUAGCGUUGUUCGGAAUUACUGGGCGUAAAGCGCGCGUAGGCGGCCAUGCAAGUGAGGCGUGAAAGGCCUGGGCUCAACCUGGGAACUGCGCUUCAGACUGCACGGCUUGAGUCCGGGAGAGGGUGGUGGAAUUCCCAGUGUAGAGGUGAAAUUCGUAGAUAUUGGGAGGAACACCAGUGGCGAAGGCGGCCACCUGGCCCGGUACUGACGCUCAAGUGCGAAAGCGUGGGGAGCAAACAGGAUUAGAUACCCCGGUAGUCC
rnacentral:rRNA from 1 species